UACGGAGGGUGCGAGCGUUGUCCGGAAUCAUUGGGCGUAAAGGGCGCGUAGGUGGCCACUUCAAGCGUGCGGUGAAAGUCGGGGGCUCAACCUCGGAUCGGCCGUGGCGACUCGUGGGCUGGAGCACUGUAGAGGCAGGCGGAAUUCCGGGUGUAGCGGUGGAAUGCGUAGAGAUCCGGAAGAACACCGGUGGCGAAGGCGGCCUGCUGGGCAGUUUUGCUGACACUGAGGCGCGACAGCGUGGGGAGCAAACAGG
rnacentral:rRNA from 1 species